AACGAACGCUGGCGGCAUGCCUAACACAUGCAAGUCGAACGAGACCUUCGGGUCUAGUGGCGCACGGGUGCGUAACGCGUGGGAACGUGCCCUUAGGUUCGGAAUAACUCCCCGAAAGGGGUGCUAAUACCGGAUAAUGUCUUCGGACCAAAGAUUUAUCGCCUUUGGAUGGGCCCGCGUUGGAUUAGCUAGUUGGUAGGGUAAAAGCCUACCAAGGCGACGAUCCAUAGCUGGUCUGAGAGGAUGAUCAGCCACACUGGGACUGAGACACGGCCCAGACUCCUACGGGAAGCAGCAGUGGGGAAUAUUGGACAAUGGGCGAAAGCCUGAUCCAGCAAUGCCGCGUGAGUGAUGAAGGCCUUAGGGUUGUAAAGCUCUUUUACCCGGGAUGAUAAUGACAGUACCGGGAGAAUAAGCUCCGGCUAACUCCGUG
rnacentral:rRNA from 1 species